UUGUUUUCUGUAAAUAAUUUUCUGGGUGUCAGAGGCAUCAUCCUUAAGAACAUGAAAGCCUUGUGGUUCUUCCUCAUUCUGGUGGCAGCUCCCAGAUGUGUCCUGUCCCAGGUGCAGCUGAAGGAAUCGGGACCUGGCCUGGUGAAGCCCUCACAGACCCUGUCUCUCACCUGCUCUGUCUCUGGAUUCUCUUUAUCCAGCUAUGAUAUGGACUGGAUCCGCCAGGCUCCAGGAAAGGGGCUGGAGUGGGUUGCUGAGAUAACUGGUAGUGGAAGCACAUACUAUAACCCAACUCUUAAGUCCCGAGUCACCAUCACCAAGGACAACUCCAAAAAUGAAGUCUAUUUAAAGCUGAGCGGCCUGAAAUCUGAGGACACAGCCACGUAUUACUGUGCAAGAGACACAGUGAGAGGAAGUCAGGGUUAG